GCCUGAGUAGCUCAGUGGUUGAGCAUCUGCCUUUAGCUCAGGUCGUAUCCCAGGGUCCUGGGAUCAAGUCUCACAUCAGGCU
rnacentral:tRNA from 1 species